UACAGAGGGUGCAAGCGUUGUUCGGAAUUAUUGGGCGUAAAGAGCUCGUAGGCGGUUUGUUGCGUCGGCUGUGAAAUCCCGAGGCUCAACCUCGGGUCUGCAGUCGAUACGAGCAAACUAGAGUGUUGCAGGGGAGACUGGAAUUCCUGGUGUAGCGGUGGAAUGCGUAGAGAUCCGGAAGAACACCGGUGGCGAAGGCGGCCUGCUGGGCAGUAGCUGACGCUGAGGCGCGACAGCGUGGGGAGCAAACAGG
rnacentral:rRNA from 1 species